ensembl:lncRNA
AUACACAAUUAUUUAUUCCAUAAAAUAUUAAAUACAAAAAAAAGAAACACAUGGCUUUGACAAUCUUGAAGUCGUGGUGAGGUCGGCUCUUCGUGUCACUUCCUGUGUCCGUCAGUUAUUCGUUCGAUCGGUUUGAUGUUGAAGCUCAAAGCGUCUGUGAACAAAACUACAGCAGAUUAAAGCUACAACUCACCAGACUGCUGUCAACAAACCACACAAAAACAACCAUUCUGUCCUCUUAAACUUUUAUAAGCUUGAAAAGUUUAUUGUCUUGUUCCUUCGUUGAUAAAAAACUCACUGGAUGAAUCCGCCGAUGAAAAUAGUCCCCUAGAAAUCCACCUUUUACUGUUUUAGCUGUUAAAAACUACAACCAGCAGCUCUUUUAAAACCUUUUUGAAACAUGUUGUUGCUUUUUGUGAGAUUUGUUGACAGUAAAAAAAAAAACACAGAAUAACCAGAAUCUUGAUUUAACCAAGUUUGUUUCUCUGUGAUUCGGUCGCACAGCGUCUCCUUCAGAUGUUGGAUUUCUGCCUGAGACAACAAAAAACACCAACCUCUAAUAUUUGCUGCUGUUUUUGUUCUUCACUGGCUGUAGGUUAAAUCCAUUUUAAAAAUCAGAUUUUAGACUUUCCAGCUGCAAAUACUGAUUAUUUUCACUGUUAAUUUGGAUUUGUUUAUUUUUUGCAUUCAUUAAUUGGUUCUUUGGUCAAUAAAAUGUCAGAAAAUUGUGAAAAGUGAUAUAUUCAGUUUACGCUCAUUGAGGAUGGAAAUAAACCAAAAAAUAUUCACAUUUAUCAAGCAACAAAUAAAGAAUUUAGUCUUUUAUUUCUGACAGAAAUUACUUGAAUUAUCAAAUUAGUUUCACUUAAAAACGACGACUGUGUUGAGAAUUUAGAUAAUUUCAUGGAAAAUGAAUCCCCAGAGAGAAAGUUAGAAGCUAGUUUCAACUGUUUUGAUUGCACAGUCGAUCAUAAACUCAGAGAGAGUUUCCUUCCUGAAGGGGGCGGGGCCAGCAGCAACUCCACACUAAAACAUCCAUUUUAGAACAAAACUAAAACCAGGAGUUAUACCUUCACAGUAUUAGGCUGUUAGUUUUAAUGUUGUUGUACGCUGGAGAUUAUUUUAAUGUAACUGGAAGACAUGUUUGUAGUUAUUUUCAUCAAGUUUUUACCAAUUAGUCAUUUGUAAAAAUGCAAAUUCAGCUUCACAGAGCAGCUGGCUUGCCUGCCAUUGCUUAUUACAUUUCUGUGAUUUAGUAUUAUCCUUGCUUUCAGUCCUAUAAAGCAACUGCUGCAUGUUUCUGAUGCAGUAAAUAUUGAUUAAAGGGCAUUAAAGUGACAUUACAGUGGAAAAUAACUUCAUUUUUAGAGGACUUCUAGAGCUUGUCUGCCUGGAAACACAGAUUCUUCAAUUUCACAGUCAAUAAAAACGUCCUUUAGAGUCGCUAUUCGCUGUGUGACCAAAACACGGAGAAACAAACCAACCUUCAUUUUCUUUUGCUAAAAAGCAGCUACAUAGAUGUUUUUCUGAGCUGCUGCAUCCUGAUAAAACCUUCUUGCUGCAGCUGAAACAGAGCUAGAAGUACAUUAACAACAUGAAAAACAUGAACCUUAAAGCUCCUGGCGCAGCUGGGAUUCAUAAAAUAGCAGGAUUAAUAGUGCAAAAUGUAGAAUUCUGUGUAAAGCCACCAGGAAGUUUGUGUUUAUUGGCGCUACAGUUGGCCUGAGUGUAUAAAUGUGUGUUUGUGGCUUCAGACAGAAGUGAAAUUUGCUUAGUGCAAGAGUUGGUGUGAUUCAGUGCUUAAAUCUAAUUUGACAAAGAAAAUCCUUUUCGCGAGAUGCUGAUUUGGGAAUGAAUUAAAUGAGAUGAGAUAAAAUAUGAAGAAGCAGAGAAAGAGAAUAUACAUUUAUCUAGUUUGAGCUACAGGUUGCUGUGUUUACAAGCUCGGCUUAAAGGAAAAAUCUGCCCAGUUAAACCUGAAAAGCAGCAGAUUAAUACGACAUGAAAUUAUUUUCCUGAGUCCACCUGGAUGCAGCAGAUUGGAGCAGAAAUUUGGGCCCAUUCAGACUUUAUUUACAUCUAAUGUGGAGGUGAUUUUACCCGAUCUAGAGCACAAAACCCAUAAUAGUAAACCCAUGCGUUUCAAUAGGGUCUU